AUGCCCGCGCGCCAACUCCGCCGCAGCAGCCACCACCUCACCGCCGCCGCCGUCACAAAAUCCCACGCCACCCUGCUCAAGUCCGGCGUCACCUCCCCGACGCCCUGGAACCAGCUCCUCACCGCCUAUUCCCUCUCCCCGCUCGGCCUCGUCGCCGCGCGCCAGGUGUUCGACCAAAUCCCCCGCCCAGACGCCGCCUCCUGGAACUCCCUCCUCACCGCGCACGUCUCGGCCGGCGCGCACCCCGAUGCGUCCCGCCUCCUCCGGGCCAUGCAUGCCCGAGGACUCGCCGCCAACACCUUCGCCCUUGGCUCCGCCCUCCGCUCCGCUGCCGCCGUGGGCUGCCUUGCUCUGGGCGCCCAGCUGCACUCGCUCGCCGUCAAAGCCGGCCUCGCCGAUAAUGUCUUCGCUGCGACCGCAUUGCUUCAUAUGUAUGCAAAAUGUGGCCGGACGAGGGACGCUCGUUGGGUGUUCGAUGGAAUGCCGGAGCGGAACACUGUUUCUUGGAACGCACUCAUUGCCGGUUAUGUGGAGUCUGGGAAGGUUGCUCCAGCAGUUCAGCUGUUUGUUGACAUGAAGAGGGAGGGGUUACUUCCCGACGAGGCAACAUUCGCUGCAUUGCUCACAGUGGUCGAUGAGUCCACUUGCUUCUUGAUGCACCAGCUGCAUGGGAAGAUUGUCAAAUAUGGAUCGGCAUUGGGCUUGAUAGUGUUGAAUGCAGCAAUCACUGCCUACUCGCAAUGUGGUGCCCUGGUGAAUUCUAGAAGGAUCUUUGAUGAAAUUGGGGACAGAAGGGAUUUGAUCUCAUGGAACGCAAUGCUUGCAGCUUACGCUUCCCAUGGGAUGGAGCAUGAGGCGAUGAGAUUCUUUGCUAGCAUGAUGCGAACGAGUGGAGUUCAGCCUGACAUGUAUAGUUUCACAAGUAUCAUAAGUGCGUGCGCAGAGCAUCGUGACCAUGGAGGGACAGUAAUUCAUGGUUUGGUGAUCAAGAACGGCUUCGAAGGAGUCACGCCUAUUUGCAAUGCUCUAAUUGCCAUGUACACUAGAUUUGGUGAGAACUGCAUGAUGGAAGAUGCAUAUAAGUGCUUUGAUUCCUUGCUGCUUAAAAACACCGUCUCCUGGAAUUCUAUGUUAACUGGGUAUUCACAGCACAGUUUGAGCGCUGAUGCCUUGAGAUUCUUCAGAUGCAUGCAGUCAAAAAAUAUUAGAACUGACGAGUUUGCAUUCUCUGCUGUCCUGCGUUCAUGCUCAGACCUUGCUUUACUUCGGCUAGGUAGACAAAUACACGGUUUAGUCAUCCAUUCUGGCUUUGCUUCCAACAAUUUUGUUUCCAGCUCGCUGAUCUUCAUGUAUUCUAAGAGUGGCGUUUUGGAUGAUGCAAUGGAGUCUUUUGAGGAGGCAGAUAAGAGUAGCUCUGUGCCAUGGAACUCAAUGAUGUUUGGUUAUGCGCAGCAUGGACAGGUGCAAGCCGUGCGCAGCCUCUUCAAUGAGAUGCUGAAGCUUAAGGUUCCUUUGGAUCAUAUCACAUUUGUUGGCCUGAUUACUGCCUGCAGUCAUGCUGGUCUUGUACACAAAGGUUCAGAAAUCCUCAAUACGAUGGAAAUUAGGUAUGGAAUUCCUCUUCGGAUGGAGCAUUAUGCAUGUGGCAUUGAUCUGUAUGGGAGGGCUGGGCAGCUUGACAAAGCAAAAGAUCUUAUUGACCGUAUGCCAUUUAAACCAGAUGCCAUGGUGUGGAUGACCCUAUUAGGUGCUUGCAGAAUCCAUGGGAAUAUGGAACUUGCAAGUGAUGUGGCCAACCAUCUAUUGGAGGCAGAACCUAGACAGCACUCCACCUAUGUUCUCCUCUCGAGCAUGUAUUCUGGUCUUGGGAUGUGGAGUGAUAGAGCAAUCGUGCAGAAGGAAAUGAAGAAUAAAGGAUUAAGCAAAGUCCCUGGUUGGAGCUGGAUCGAGGUGAAGAAUGAGGUGCACUCUUUCAAUGCAGAGGAUGGGUCGCACCCAAGGAUGGAGGAAAUAUAUGAGAUGUUGAGUUUGUUGCUUCACAAUUUUCCCAUGCAGCUGCCGCAUCUAGAAACAAGUGGAGCCAUGGACUGCUAA
rnacentral:rRNA from 1 species